AACGAACGCUGGCGGCAUGCCUAACACAUGCAAGUCGAACGAAACCUUCGGGUCUAGUGGCGCACGGGUGAGUAACGCGUGGGAACCUGCCCUUAGGUUCGGAAUAACUCACCGAAAGGGGUGCUAAUACCGGAUGAUGUCUUCGGGGGAAAGAUUUAUCGCCUUUGGAUGGGCCCGCGUUGGAUUAGCUAGUUGGUAGGGUAAUGGACUACCAAGGCGACGAUCCAUAGCUGGUCUGAGAGGAUGAUCAGCCACACUGGGACUGAGACACGGCCCAGACUCCUACGGGAGGCAGCAGUGGGGAAUAUUGGACAAUGGGCGAAAGCCUGACGCAGCCAUGCCGCGUGAAUGAUGAAGGCCUUAGGGUUGUAAAGCUCUUUCACCCGGGAUGACAAUGACAGUACCGGGAGAAGAAGCCCCGGCUAACUCCGUG
rnacentral:rRNA from 1 species